AAUGAAGAAUUAAUCGUUAUACCUUGAAAAAAAGGAAAGAAUAUAAUACUCGUUAAAAAUCAGUUAUUGAAGUUAAUAGAUAUUUAGACUAUAACUGUAGUGAUAAUUAUAAUUGGGACGAACACCCGAGUUUUUUUUAUUCUAUCAGUUGACCCAACAGUUAGGUUAUGAACUGUUGCUUUCGAUGUGGAUAAAAGUAUUAGAAUAUAAAUCAUUAGUCUCUUUGAUUUAUAUAUUGAAAAUUUCCACAAAAUAUGUGUCAAUCAAAGUCAUAUCGCCCACUCAGCUUAUGCAUCAUUAGGAAACUCAACAUAAAACCAGUAUAUACGUUUACUGCGUUAUUAGAUAUUCACUAUUGCAAUGUGUCUUUAGGUUAUUACUAUAACAAACCAUCGUUCUGAAUCACAAUAUUUUAUUAUGCUAUUCAUUAUUUUGUAAACAUUAAUUUUGUUUGAAUUGAACCAUUAAACAAAAAGAAAAAAUGAUAAUUAAGCUUGAUUCAUUAAGAAUCAAGAUGAAGGAGAAAUGAACGUAAUAACGACAAUGAAAUUGUGAAUUUAACAAGGCGGAACAACGAGUUUUUCGAUUUCAUUAGUUGAUUUUAAGUUGUCGUAAACAAUUUAAAUCAUUAUUGUUUGUGACUUGAGUUCCAUUAAAAAAGACAAAUAAUUAGACUCGCAUACAUAAUAAAUAAAGACUC